rnacentral:rRNA from 1 species
AGAUUGAACGCUGGCGGCGUGCUUAACACAUGCAAGUCGUGCGGUAACAGGCGUAGCAAUACGUGCUGACGAGCGGCGAACGGGUGCGUAAUACAUGGGAAUCUGCCUUUUAGUGGGGGAAUAACCCGGCGAAAGCCGGGCUAAUGCCGCAUAAGAUCUUCGGAUGAAAGCGGGGGAUCGUAAGACCUCGCGCUGAUAGAUGAGCCCAUGCCGGAUUAGCUAGUUGGUGAGGUAACGGCUCACCAAGGCGACGAUCCGUAGCUGGUCUGAGAGGACGGCCAGCCACACUGGGACUGAGACACGGCCCAGACUCCUACGGGAGGCAGCAGUGGGGAAUAUUGGACAAGUGGGGGAAACCCUGAUCCAGCGACGCCGCGUGUGUGAAGAAGGCC